CCAACUUCAUAUUACAACUAAGUGAAAUCCAUGGUUCCAAGAAUACCUGGAAAAUGCCAAAAAUAAAGAGAGAGUGAGGGAGUUAUUAGCAAUAGUAGGAAUCAACAAUGGAACAGUGCUGGAAUCAGCAAACUAAGCCCCAAAGAACCCAGCUAAAACAUCAAAUAAGCAGUAACCCAAACUAACAAUUCUAACAUGACCUUUGAAUGCCCAGAAUUAAACAAUUUUUCAACCCAAGUGCAGAAUUCCAGGGUUUUCAGAAGUUCAAACUAAUGAAGAGGAUCAAACAAUCAAUACUAAGCAGAAUUUUGAGUAAUUUUUCACAAAGAAAUGCAGGAAAAUCAGUGUUGUUUCAAGAGUUUUCAGUUGUUUCAGUUUUUGCAGAAUUUUU
rnacentral:lncRNA from 1 species